rnacentral:rRNA from 1 species
GACAGAGGUGCCAAGCGUUAGGCGGAAUCACUGGGCUUAAAGCGUGUGUAGGCGGGCGAUCAAGUACCUUGUGGAAAUCCCACGGCUCAACCGUGGAACUGCUGGGUAUACUGGUUGUCUUGAGCCAGCUAGGGGCGAGCGGAACAGACGGUGGAGCGGUGAAAUGCGUAGAUAUCGUCUGGAACGCCGAAGGUGAAAACAGCUCGCUGGGGCUGCGCUGACGCUGAGACACGAAGCCAGGGGAGCGAACGGG